AUAUCUCUCCGUACGGGAAGGAUGAGAAGCUUCGACUAAGGUUCGAUUCGAGCGAAAGCGAGAAAGCGUUGCCAACGGCAAC
rnacentral:sRNA from 1 species